GACGAACGCUGGCGGCGUGCUUAACACAUGCAAGUCGAACGGAAAGGCCUUUUCGGAGGUACUCGAGUGGCGAACGGGUGAGUAACACGUGGGUGAUCUGCCCUGCACUCUGGGAUAAGCCUGGGAAACUGGGUCUAAUACCGGAUAGGACCGCACUUUAGUGUGUGUGGUGGAAAGUUUUUUCGGUGUAGGAUGAGCCCGCGGCCUAUCAGCUUGUUGGUGGGGUAAUGGCCUACCAAGGCGGCGACGGGUAGCCGGACUGAGAGGUUGGUCGGCCACAUUGGGACUGAGAGACGGCCCAGACACCUACGGGAGGAAGAAGUGGGGAAUAUUGCAAAAGGGGCGCAAGCCUGAUGCAGCGACGCCGCGUGGGGGAUGACGGCCUUCGGGUUGUAAACUCCUUUCGCCAGGGACGAAGCGUUUUGUGACGGUACCUGGAGAAGAAGCACCGGCUAACUACGUG
rnacentral:rRNA from 1 species